rnacentral:rRNA from 1 species
GAUGAACGCUGGCGGCGUGCUUAACACAUGCAAGUCGAACGGUGAAGGCGGAGCUUGCUCUGCUGGAUCAGUGGCGAACGGGUGAGUAACACGUGAGCAAUCUGCCCCUGACUCUGGGAUAAGCGCUGGAAACGGCGUCUAAUACUGGAUACGAGCUGCGAAGGCAUCUUCAGCAGCUGGAAAGAAUUUCGGUCAGGGAUGAGCUCGCGGCCUAUCAGCUUGUUGGUGAGGUAAUGCUCACCAAGGCGUCGACGGGUAGCCGGCCUGAGAGGGUGACCGGCCACACUGGGACUGAGACACGGCCCAGACUCCUACGGGAGGCAGCAGUGGGGAAUAUUGCACAAUGGGCGAAAGCCUGAUGCAGCAACGCCGCGUGAGGGACGACGGCCUUCGGGUUGUAAACCUCUUUUAGCAGGGAAGAAGCGAAAGUGACGGUACCUGCAGAAAAAGCGCCGGCUAACUACGUG